rnacentral:rRNA from 1 species
CAACUCGCCUGCAUGAAGUUGGAAUUGCUAGUAAUCGCGAAUCAGAAUGUCGCGGUGAAUACGUUCCCGGGCCUUGUACACACCGCCCGUCACACCAUGAGAGUCGAUAACACCCGAAGCCUGUGAGCUAACCGCAAGGAGGCAGCAGUCGAAGGUGGGGUUGAUGAUUGGGGUGAAGUCGUAACAAGGUAUC